CCGCCCCACUUAGUAUGAUGGUUUUGACACUCGACUUGCUAUCGAGUGGACUCGGGUUCAAAUCCCGAUUAAGGGAUGGA